CAAAGAGAGGUUUCUCUGCGUGCUUGAGGUAUAAUGCAAGUACGGUCGUUUUAGGUUUUACCAACUGCGGCUAAUCUUUUUUAUACUGAGCGUAUUGGAACGUUAUCGAUAAGAAGAGAGCGUCUAGGCGAACAAUGUUCUUAAAGUUUGACCUCAAAUCAGGUAGGAGUACCCGCUGAACUUAAGCAUAUCAAUAAGCGGAGGAAAAGAAACCAACCGGGAUUGCCUUAGUAACGGCGAGUGAAGCGGCAAAAGCUCAAAUUUGAAAUCUGGUACCUUCGGUGCCCGAGUUGUAAUUUGGAGAGGGCAACUUUGGGGCCGUUCCUUGUCUAUGUUCCUUGGAACAGGACGUCAUAGAGGGUGAGAAUCCCGUGUGGCGAGGAGUGCGGUUCUUUGUAAAGUGCCUUCGAAGAGUCGAGUUGUUUGGGAAUGCAGCUCUAAGUGGGUGGUAAAUUCCAUCUAAAGCUAAAUAUUGGCGAGAGACCGAUAGCGAACAAGUACAGUGAUGGAAAGAUGAAAAGAACUUUGAAAAGAGAGUGAAAAAGUACGUGAAAUUGUUGAAAGGGAAGGGCAUUUGAUCAGACAUGGUGUUUUGUGCCCUCUGCUCCUUGUGGGUAGGGGAAUCUCGCAUUUCACUGGGCCAGCAUCAGUUUUGGUGGCAGGAUAAAUCCAUAGGAAUGUAGCUUGCCUCGGUAAGUAUUAUAGCCUGUUGGGAAUACUGCCAGCUGGGACUGAGGACUGCGACGUAAGUCAA
rnacentral:rRNA from 1 species